rnacentral:tRNA from 1 species
UCGGGAUAGCUCAGUUGGUAGAGCAGAGGACUGA